rnacentral:rRNA from 1 species
UGGAGAAUUUUGGACAAUGGGGGCAACCCUGAUCCAGCAAUGCCGCGUGUGUGAAGAAGGCCUUCGGGUUGUAAAGCACUUUUGUCCGGAAAGAAAACGCCGUGGUUAAUACCCGUGGCGGAUGACGGUACCGGAAGAAUAAGCACCGGCUAACUACGUGCCAGCAGCCGCGGUAAUACGUAGGGUGCAAGCGUUAAUCGGAAUUACUGGGCGUAAAGCGUGCGCAGGCGGUCCGCUAAGACAGAUGUGAAAUCCCCGGGCUUAACCUGGGAACUGCAUUUGUGACUGGCGGGCUAGAGUAUGGCAGAGGGGGGUAGAAUUCCACGUGUAGCAGUGAAAUGCGUAGAGAUGUGGAGGAAUACCGAUGGCGAAGGCAGCCCCCUGGGCCAAUACUGACGCUCAUGCACGAAAGCGUGGGGGAGCAAACAGGAUUAGAUACCCUGGUAGUCCACGCCCUAAACGAUGUCAACUAGUUGUCGGGUCUUCAUUGACUUGGUAACGUAGCUAGCGCGUGAAGUUGACCGCCU